UUUUUUUUUUUUUUUUUAAAAUAGAGCCUCCAUGUGGAAGGCUUCUAUGCUUGGGAGGGAGGGACUACAGCACACCUUAACCAAGUGCCUAAAAGUUAGAUGGGCUGAAUGUAGGCAAUUCUUUAGAUCUCUAGUUGUUGCAAAGGCUUUUUGCUGUGGCUGCAUAUGCUGUCCUAGCAAAACUGGCCAGGAUGAUGGGAAUGUCUGACUACCAUUUGAAAGUAGAGUCUUGCAUGGCAGCUGCAAACUGCUACUUUGGUAGUGCUUGAGAAUGGCUGCACUGAUUCUGUAGACCAGCUUUUAAAGAGAAUGUACUGAAGAGACAGGCAAGGUAGGAGCAAUGGUUGCUGCUCUGAACUAAUUACUUCUUCUGCCUGAGUGUGCAGAGAGAUCUUGUCUAGUAGGUAAAUGCUUCUUACCAUCUUAUCUGUCAUUCACUCACGGUUGGUAGGGUAGUUCAUUUAAGAACAGCUGCUUUUAGCUUAUUCAGUGUGCUCUGUGCUUGCUAGCAAAGAGACCUCAUUGCUGCAAGGGGUUCUUGGCUUGAUUAGAAAUUGUCUGGCAGUGUGCAGUGUUGGUAUGCCCUGUAACUGAAUCUGCCUGGAGGUAUCUAAUUAUUAACUGACUUCAGUACCACAUCAACCUCGAGUAAAUGUAUCCUCUGUACAGGACUUUAGCUUUGUUCCCUUCUGCAUAGUGACUUAUCUAGAGAAGUGAAAUGGUGUCAUCAAGGAUUUCUUUUAUUUUAAUUUUUUUUUCCUUCCUCUCCCCCCCCGUGAGUGUGUGUGUGUGGCUUUUGCUUUUUCCAAAUGUGAAAGUGUGGGCUGGAUACACUUGGUGCAUGGCUUAGAAACAUGGGACUGGAAAGAACUUCCUGGGUCAUCAGAUCCAGUCCCCUGCUAUUGCAGGCAACCGUGUCAUAUAAUCCUUUUAAUAAACUGAUCAAGCUUAACCACCUGCUUGUAAGUGGCUUGUUUUCAUGGAAGUUCUGUAACUCAUGUUGCUCUCAACUGAUGCAAGUAAUAUAUGAAAUAUGAAGUUAAUCAAAAGGUCCUCCAGCUUAGCUUUAGGUUUACCAUUACACUUAUUUAACUGACUUUAUUGAACCUGUUAUUCUUUGCACAACACUCAGGAAAGUGUUGAAUCUUUACACCCCCUUGCUAUGAAUAAGAGUUGGUGUGCUUGCUUAUUUUUUUUAAUGGAAAAGAUGGAUGUCUGGCUUGUUGAAAUUUGUUAGAUAUGUUAAUUGUCAAGGCAAGAAGCAAUUGAGUUACUUGUAUUUGAUACAUAAAUUUAAGGCUAGAGUAUACAUAACCAUUUUUAAAACACAUCAACUUGCAGUGUAGUUUUAUAUUUAAUACUGAAAUUGUACUGCUAAAAUUUAAACUGCUGUUAAUCAUAUUCCUCUUCUGAUCAUAAUGAAAAAAUAAAGGGUAAGAAAAUGCUUAA
rnacentral:lncRNA from 1 species